rnacentral:rRNA from 1 species
GACGUAGGGCGCGAGCGUUGUCCGGAUUUAUUGGGCGUAAAGAGCUCGUAGGCGGCUUGUUGCGUCGGCUGUGAAACCCGUGGCUUAACUGCGGGCUUGCAGCUGAUACGGGCGGGCUGGAGUUCGGUAGGGGAGACUGGAAUUCCUGGUGUAGCGGUGAAAUGCGCAGAUAUCAGGAGGAACACCGGUGGCGAAGGCGGGUCUCUGGGCCGAUACUGACGCUGAGGAGCGAAAGCGUGGGGAGCGAACAGG